AAGUCGUAACAAGGUCUCCGUUGGUGAACCAGCGGAGGGAUCAUUAAAAAUGAGUCCCAAGACUUAAAACCUACCGUGCUCCCCUACGUGGACAACAGGAAAGCCCUCCGGGGCAUAGGAAAUCUGAGAAGUUAAAGAACUGCGCCCCGGCGCAUGACUAAACAAACAAUUACAACCCAUAACAAUGGAUCUCUUGGCUCUG
rnacentral:misc_RNA from 1 species